UUGAAUGGGAAACUGACACGGAAACGAGUUAAGAAGAACGUGUCUGUAAAUAUAAGAAGCGAGUCCAUUUCCGACUACUGUCAAAUAGCAACCUGAGUGCUGCUAUUUUUUAAUCCCUCAUUCUUUCUCCCAUCAUUUUCAAAACAUUCAUUUGAUUGGGUUUUUUCUUCUCAACCCUAGUGUUUUGCGAGAUGAACCCCUACUAUAGUAGAUACUCUGAUCUCGCUUCUUUUCACGCUCGUCGCAGCGAUUUCGGUAGAUCUAUUCCGCCGUCUUCUUUAAGCAGUCGUGGCGAUGCGGUUCCCUCUGGCGUCUUUAGGUCCAAUGGGUUGGGAUCCGCACCCGUUGCUCCGGUUCCACCAUUUGUACCCCUCCUGGGGUUUUUUUGAACAAUAUUACACUUCCGAAGAGUUUUAAGAAUUUGGUCCCUUUUGAGAAGAUUUUUUACGUUAAGUGCCCUACGGUGAGAUGUCCGCGCAAGAAAUUAUGUCGUGCAUGGGCGUGAUGUGCCGAAACCUGUAGGGAAUUAAUUGGGCCAUGGCAAUGAUGGGUAGAGAUGUAAUCGGGAAACUGAUGGAGAUGGCGGAAAUCCCGAAGUUGAAGAAAAAAACAGAGGAAGCGCAUUUCGGUAUAGUGCCGAGAAAGGCGAUAGCUUUGUGAUUGAUACGAAUGCGUUUUCUUCCGCCAACCACAAAGAUCCCACCAAUGCAAAUUCGAAAAUUACGGUAUCUCUCUUCUCUCAAAAACGGCUUAAUUAACACUUCUUUUAUUUCUUGAACUUCAACAUAAAUAUAGUAAGAUCCAUAUUAUUUAUUAACGUAGAUUGAACGAUCCCAUCACUUAGGAUUUCUUUUUAUUUCCAUUUGCUGUGUAUCUUUGGUCGAAGAGAAUUUUAAUACAAUUAUCUACACGUUUGUUUGUUUCAAUUAUCUGGCCCUUAUGGACGUGGCUCAUCAGUAUAGAAUCUGGAUUUGUUUAAACGUAGGUAGGACACAGGUGACAUAUUGAAAUAUCACCUCCAUACCUUAGUUUAUGUACGUAAAGGAUAUAUUAUAUUUGAUUACCAAGCGGUACCUAUGUCAUGACAAGAUGGGUGUCUCCUGAUUGUUAAAUGUUUGCUGAAUUAUUAUGUGUAUUAUUAUUCUUUCAAGUCAUUAUAACUAGGUUUUGGAUUCACAUUCUAACACAAACGCGACCUCACAGUGAUAAGUGGAACUGUAAAUUAAGUUUUAUGAGGAUGUUGCAAUUGUUUGGCCUGGUCGCUGUUCACUGGUAGUUGAAGAUUAGUUAGGUGGUUUUAUUUUUAUCCUUCUUUCAGAAGGCCUAUUUCAAAAGGCUACCCACUCCGUGAACCUGUCGCUGUAAUGAAAUAUUUUACUGUGUGAAAUGGAGUCCUUGGUCAAUCCUAGUAGAACUGAAAGGGAAAUUGGUUAGUCUGUCAUGUAUUUUUAACGAUGUAUUUUUAACGGUGGGGCGCGGGGAGGAAAGGAAGUGUGAGUUAGACGUUGGUUAAAGUGAACGGUUAGUUAGUUAGAGGGAGGGUUAAUUACAGGGUGAUUCUUAGUUAGUUAAUGGUGAGGGUUAGUUAGUUGGUCAAGGUUAGUUAGAGGGAGAGUUAAUUAAAGUAAAAGGUUAGUUAGUUAGUAGGUGAGGGUUAGUUGGUUCGAGGGUAGGUUAAUUAAAGGGUGAUGAUUAAAACUCUUUCCAUGUUAUCUUAUAUUUCACCCCUCACUUGACAUUCUCUAAUCUCUCUCUUCCUCUCCCUCUCCCUCUCUCCCUCUCUUCGAGGGUUAGUUAGCCGCAAAUCGCUUCAACGAGAUCCGUCACAUUUUCCGUCAACUUUUCGGUCGGUUUCCUCUUUCAUUUUUCUCACUUUGUUUUCCGAUUUCCGUCUUUGUGUUUGUUUUUAUUUUACUUUUUGGUUUCCCCUUUCUCAGCCUUCGAGGGCUUUCUCAACCGCUCUGAACUUAAGUGUUAUUCGUUUUCGUUCAAUUCUCUCAGUUUCGGUUUUGUAAUUUUUAUUCUUAUUAUAUCCACUUUUGAUUGACAUAACACCUUGACUCACCGGACAACAACCCU